GACGAACGCUGGCGGCGUGCUUAACACAUGCAAGUCGAACGGAAAGGCCCUGCUUUUGUGGGGUGCUCGAGUGGCGAACGGGUGAGUAACACGUGAGUAACCUGCCCUUGACUUUGGGAUAACUUCAGGAAACUGGGGCUAAUACCGGAUAGGAGCUCCUGCUGCAUGGUGGGGGUUGGAAAGUUUCGGCGGUUGGGGAUGGACUCGCGGCUUAUCAGCUUGUUGGUGGGGUAGUGGCUUACCAAGGCUUUGAUGGGUAGCCGGCCUGAGAGGGUGGACGGCCACAUUGGGACUGAGAGACGGCCCAGACUGCUACGGGAGGCAGCAGUGGGGAAUAUUGCACAGUGGGGGGAAGCCUGAUGCAGCAACGCCGCGUGCGGGAUGACGGCCUUCGGGUUGUAAACCGCUUUAGCCUGUGACGAAGCGUGAGUGACGGUAAUGGGUAAAGAAGCACCGGCUAACUACGUG
rnacentral:rRNA from 1 species